GACGAACGCUGGCGGCGUGCUUAACACAUGCAAGUCGAACGGAAAGGCCCUGCUUUCGUGGGGUGCUCGAGUGGCGAACGGGUGAGUAACACGUGAGUAACCUGCCCUUGACUUUGGAUAACUUCAGGAAACUGGGGCUAAUACCGGAAAGGAGCUCCUGCUGCAUGGUGGGGGUUGGAAAGUUUCGGCGGUUGGGGAUGGACUCGCGGCUUAUCAGCUUGUUGGUUGGGUAGUGGCUUACCAAGGCUUUGACGGGUAGCCGGCCUGAGAGGGUGACCAGCCCCCUUGGGACUGAGAUACGGCCCAGUCUCCUACGUGAGGCAGCAGGGGGGAAUAUUGCCCAAUGGGCGCAAGCCUGAUGCAGCAACGCCGCGUGCGGGAUGACGGCCUUCGGGUUGUAAACCGCUUUCGCCUGUGACGAAGCGUGAGUGACGGUAAUGGGUAAAGAAGCACCGGCUAACUACGUG
rnacentral:rRNA from 1 species